rnacentral:sRNA from 1 species
CAAAUAGCAUGUAUAUUUCUUCUCGCAAAUAGCAUGUAUACGGGUAUAGAUAAAGAACUCCCUCAAUCUUUCAUUGAGGGAGUUGAUUGGUUUAUUAGACAUAUGAUUGGUUUAUUGUCAUAGUUGUAGCCAUUGCCACACUUUUUUAAUAACACGUCCCACAGAUCAUAGACUUGAUUUUUUUUUGUCAAUUUUAUCACACUUUGCGACUAUUGUCAUGUUGUCUAAUCUUAGUUGUGGUAAAAUAUGACUAGCAACCAAACACACUCACAGUUUAUUAGGCAUAUGAUUGGUUUAUUGUCACAGUUGACAGUUUAUUAGGCAUAUGAUUGGUUUACUGCCACAGUUGUAGCUUUAGACACACUGUUUUAAUAACACGUCCCACACAUCAUAAACUUAAUUUUCUUGUCAACUUUGUCACACUUUGCGACUAGCAAUUUCUGUAGCGAAGCAAAUAAAUCAAAUUGAGAGCUAGCUGACUGCUGACCUGGAGUGAACCCCUGAUAUUGUUAUUAAUGCCAGUUCUUCAAAACAACUAGAAUAACUUUCGAUUAGUAUUUCGGAAGCAUAUGCUUUACAGUUUCCACAUAUUUGAAGAAACAAGGAGUAGCAAUCACGUGACAUAAGUUCAAUAUGGGUUGAAUAAUCAUGAAGAUACAUUAUUCAUCAAUAGCAACAUGAAUACAUCACCAUGUGAAACAAAAGGGGAAACACACACCAAAUGACAUGUUGAAAGUAGCAUAGAUGUAACACUACGUAAAACCAAAGCUACUGCAGAACACCGGGAAGCCUCUGGCAUUCAAAGAUUAUAUGCUGAAUAAAUGAACUUCUUGGCUUCUCUGCUGGUGAACAAAAACUUUCAAUACUGUUAGUGAUAUCCCUAGGCAGUAGUUAGUUCUGUUAGCUAAAAUGUAACAAAAUUGUGCCUUACAUCGCCCCUUGGAUGACCUCCCAUUAUAUCAGUAGUAUGCUUUCCUUGGAUUGUUCUGUAAAAGUGAGAUGAUCAUUAGGUGAACAGGGAUGACCAAACCACUCAUUUACACAGCUUAUGGCAGACAACAUACCAGUGGGUUUGGCCUAUAACGGUAGCCAAGCAUCAUUCGCUUCUUGUAUUGCUCAUAGAUAUCAUCUUCAGAUGUGACCUCACCAGGUUGGACAGCGCCAACACCAAGAUGGUCUUUCUUCACGUCUCCAGCCAUAAUGGGAUCUGCACGUCCACUUCUCUCACUGCCAAGACCCUCACCUGCACAAGACAACUUAGCAUCUCAAAAUCUGAUGUAUAAAACAUAACCUUGAGAAAACAGGAAACACCAGCAACAGUUGCGUUCUGUUAAUCAUUAAUGAUAAAUUCUUAUCACAAUUUUUAGCACGGUGUCUGUGGGUAGAGGUGGCUAAUUUGCGACAGAACUGUACAGCAACAAAUAUUUGCUGGAAGAACACAGGAAACAGGAUAUGGCGAUAGACAGGAGGAGAUGGGCAGCAACCAGCAAGAGAGCACAGAAUCAAGAAUGAAUACCAGAGUUCAGAUAGGAUUUGAAAUGAAAUUUACAGUCUACCACUACCAGACACCCAAUUGAUUUCUUUGCUGGGGGGUUGAUUUGGAUUUCGUACUGAUUAAAGGGAAAUCCAAGAGGAACAAAGUAAGAUCCAAAUGAUAAUUCAAAUAUUCAAGGACUAACCUUCCCUCCAUCCCAUCUUAGACAGAAGUUUGUGUCCGAUAUUGUCAGCCUGAAUCUUAGCCUUCUCUGCAGCUUCUUUGGUAGCUUUUUGUGCAGCAGCAUCGUUACAACGUGCCAUAAACUUUUCAAGUUCUUCUUGAGGAAUGAAGUCGCCCAUGUGAUGUCCCUUCUUGGAAGAAGGAGCUGCAAAACACAGACCAGAUAGAAAGGAAACAAAUAUGAGGUCUCCGGUUUCCCCAACCCUUGAAUACAGACAAACAAAUACUAUAAAAGAAGGGUACCUUGAAGAGAAGGAGGUGGUGGCAUUUCAUCUUUUGAUUGUUUCGGUGGCCUUUUCCGUUCUUCCUGUGCAGCUUUCUUCAUGUAGAAUUCCAUCAAUGCUAC